rnacentral:rRNA from 7 species
ACGGGUGAGUAAUACAUCGGAACGUGCCCAAUCGUGGGGGAUAACGCAGCGAAAGCUGUGCUAAUACCGCAUACGAUCUACGGAUGAAAGCAGGGGAUCGCAAGACCUUGCGCGAAUGGAGCGGCCGAUGGCAGAUUAGGUAGUUGGUGAGGUAAAGGCUCACCAAGCCUUCGAUCUGUAGCUGGUCUGAGAGGACGACCAGCCACACUGGGACUGAGACACGGCCCAGACUCCUACGGGAGGCAGCAGUGGGGAAUUUUGGACAAUGGGCGAAAGCCUGAUCCAGCCAUGCCGCGUGCAGGAUGAAGGCCUUCGGGUUGUAAACUGCUUUUGUACGGAACGAAACGGCCUUUUCUAAUAAAGAGGGCUAAUGACGGUACCGUAAGAAUAAGCACCGGCUAACUACGUGCCAGCAGCCGCGGUAAUACGUAGGGUGCAAGCGUUAAUCGGAAUUACUGGGCGUAAAGCGUGCGCAGGCGGUUAUGUAAGACAGUUGUGAAAUCCCCGGGCUCAACCUGGGAACUGCAUCUGUGACUGCAUAGCUAGAGUACGGUAGAGGGGGAUGGAAUUCCGCGUGUAGCA